CAUCUCUUGUCCUUCUGCAUUUAGUCGAGAAAAUCUUUCGCCUUUUACUAAAGAUUUCCGUGCUG
rnacentral:snRNA from 1 species